rnacentral:lncRNA from 1 species
AUUUCCCGGACCAGCAUCCAUCAUCUCAGUCCCGCUCAGUGAGCUCCCUGUGGUUGCACGGGAUGGCACUGUCCACAUGGCAGAGGAGGGUCUGUGUUAUAUAACAAUGGUUGGCAGGUUAACUUAGGACGCCUCUGUGAGAGGCUGGUGGUCGGCCCUGGGAUCAGUAACCAGCGGAGGUUGGAGCUGCAGGAAGGCCCCCUGGAACCGCUGAGUGAAGUGGCCUCCAAAGGAGUGGGUUUACCUGCAGCAGCAAACUUCAGCACAGCUCAUUGGCCGGUAUUCCUGAAGGAAAUGACUUGGACAUCAGCCGGGUUUUCAGUGGCAACAAUGGCACAAGCUGCUUGCAGAAGCUUUUCCCAGGUUCUCUUCAGAUUGAUGUAGAGGCCAUCACUUUUCCUUUUGAGGAUGUACUGUUCCAUUUGGAAGUCAAGGUUGAUGCCACCUAAGUGAAUUCCUGCUGCAAGGAAUUUGAGAAAAUCCUCCUUCUUCAUUUGCAGGACAUCAAGGGCUCUGGACAUUGUGAAAGUUUCCCUUUAAGUUGCUGCGGGAACCCAGAACAGUGCAGACGGACCCCUCUAUGGGUAGCGCAGAAAGACCUUGCUCUGUUUUUCAUAACACCUCUUGGUUUUCACAGGACAUCUCUCCAACUGAUUGAAGACUUAGACUGUACUUAUUCUUGUCUUCUUUGGCCCAGGACCCUCAACCACGCUCUGUGGGGUGGUUGACUCCUCACAGUCCCAGCUGCUUUCCUGUGGAUGUGCCCCACUGGCCGAUACGUCUUGUAAAGUGUGGCUUCCACAACUGGACACGAGAUUCCAGGCGGGUGACCAGCAUGGAGCAGGGACUCUCACUGAACUUAUGCUGUGCAGUCUGUCCAGAGUUGAAAUUAUACUCAGAGGUGAAAUUAUAAUAAGAAAGCCUUUGGAGAACGGCCCUCGAAACAAUAAUUCAGAAGGUUAAACUACAAAGAGAAUGUAAGCACGUCAUUUUCAAUGGAAUCGGGGAAGGUUAGAAAUGGAAGACUUGAAUGCCAGGCUUCAGUUAUCCUCCCCGAUACAAUGAGAAAGACCCACAUGUUUUCCUUGGAUAUUUAUAUCCAGGUGAUUUUUUUUUUUUUCUGUCUGAAAGAGCCACCUCUUCUGCCAGCAUGCUCUCGUUCCUCCAUUCUGUCCAAGUGUCUUUGUUCCCUUUCCUGCUUGCUCUCACCUUCCUUUCUCCCAUCCUCCAACCUUUCAGGAUAUGAGAUCAGUGAGGAGGAGGGAAAAGGAACUGAUGUUUACCCAGUGCUUUAUGUGUGCCAUACAUGCUUUGACAUAUAUCAUCUCAUCUAGUCCCUGAUGGCAGCAUUCUGAGAGAGUCUCCAGAAAGGAAUGCAACCCUACUGACAUCUUGAUUUUUGCCAGUGAGAUCCACGUCGAACUUCCGACCUACAGAACUCUGAUGUUCCUGCAAAUCAGAAUUGAUUUGAACUAAGGUGAAUGAUAAACAUGCGCUGUCAGACUGCCUCCUGGGAGCCGACUGGGUGAGUUUUCAGGGUGAAUUUUCUUUGUCCUCCUGGCCUCAGGCUGACUCUAGCUCUGCUUUUCUCUCUUCACCAAAGCUGACCUUCUCUCUCUGCCUCACCUCCCACCCCAUUCCCACCUCCAGCCACAGAGGCAGCAGCUGAGCCCUGCUGUGCCAACCUCAAGUCUAGGUGACCCUGAGCAGUUACCAAGGGGCUUUGUCUUUCUAGAUACCCCAUUUGGCCAUGGUCAAAAUCCCCAAGGCCUGCUGAGGGAGGCUGAGUCUGUGUGGAAAAUUUAUAGGGGUUUAGAACCCAGAGAUUCUAGGUUGUGAGUGUGCGACUCCCCAUGUGCGAGUAUUGGAGGGAACCACUCAUAGCUUCAUGCUGUGUCGAGCUGGGGAAAAAUCACAAGGUAUGGGCCCUUUUUUCUCACCCUGUCCCCCACUCCUGGGCCUGGAAGUUUCCCCCUCCCAGUACUGUGACAUUUUUGGAUGUUCCUUUGAAUAGCUCAGGGACAAUCUAAGGAGUGAACACAAGAGAAUACCCCUCUGGAAACUUUGGAACAAAUUUCCUUGACUCCCAGAGGCCUUUAUAUAUGCUGCUUUCUUGGCUUCAACUUCCUUUGCCCUUAGUCUUAUGCUUCCUUUAAGACUCAGUCCAGAAAGGCCUGGGAAGUGUUUUCUGGCUCAUGCCUCUUACUCCAACUGCAAACCAUCCUUUAGCACCAGGCACAAUCUCUGUCAUGGCCCCUGUCAGCUAAGUCUUCACCAUUUGCUUGCAUUUGUUUCUGCAAGGGUAUCCAGGACAGAUCUCAGUCAUGGAUGCUUAGAAAAUGCUUGUGGAAUGCACAUUCCUCAGGACCAAAGGUAGAACUGAGCAGAGUACUUUCUACCCCAAGCAAUUAUAAAACCCAUUAUACAUAAAUGACCUAAGAAUAGUAGACGCUAGAAUUAAGAACAGUUUAAAUUGACAUAUGUUCCUUGUAUGAAUAAUGGCUUUCACACAUUGACUAGACCCUUUUCUCAAAAACAGAAGGAGUGCAUUUUAUACAUGUUAGCAUUUUAUAAGUAUUGCCAUUUAAGCUUAUAAUUCUGGCUCAGCUGUUGGAAUUUUGUCAUAUGCCAAAAGUUAAACAGAUGUCCAAAAGAGUGACUCACUGCCCAAAUGAAGAAAAAUGGUAAGAGCUGUUCAAAACCAACUUAAGUGUCAAUAAACUUGGAGAGAAGUAUUCUCUCGGGCUUUAAAAAAAAUCAAACAAACACAAUGAAGAGGGCAUCCUUCCCAGAGGACAAUUUGAGACAGGAUCAGUGAGAAGCAGAGAUGAAAAGACUUGCUUCCUUCUCCAACCCCAGUUGGUACAGGGAGAAGAUACUAGGAAUUUCUGAAUUGUAGAAUUACUCCUCUCCCAUGGGUUUCUGCAUUCAAGUCUUCCAAAACUCAAGGAACUAUAGAGAUUUUUCCUGGGUUACAGGUAAGAGCCUUUGAAUUUCAAAUUGUAGAUAUCCUUGAGCACUGUAAGCCAAAAUGUGUCAUGGCUACCUAGCUUUUAGCUAUGAUCAUUCACAAAGGAAAACUGAUGCCUUUACAGUUUGCUUAUGGAAGGACCUGGAGCAGAGCUGACUGCCUGACUGAUUGGGGCACUAAUUGAUUAGUUGACUAACAUUCAUUAAGCACCUAUUAUGUGCCAAGCACCUUGGAUGAAUGAAAAAUGACAGAAAUUUCUCCUUCCCAGGAACUUAAAUAUCAUAGAAGUAGAGAUGUGUCUAGUAUUUAAGAUCAGCAGAAAUCAAAGAGAUGUCCUUGUGCUAUUUGGUAUCUCCAAGUACUUAUAAUAAGUCAAACUUAUUGGGUAUCCUUGUAGUAUUUUCAGAUUUUGGGGAUCUGGAUUUGAUGUGUCAGACAAAGAACAAUCAAAGGUGAUUGUGGAAGAACGAGAUGGAUUGAUGUCCCGGAAAGUGAUGAGGGAGAUCGGGGCCCGGCUUCACACAUCACAGGCAGUGCCCUCCACUCCGACCUGGAGGGCACCACCUCAUGGUGUGAGGGGGGCUCGGGCUCCACAUCCAUUAACUCCUUGGCUUCUCGUUUGAAACUGACAACGGGGUGAUGUGGGCAACUGUCCAUAUGGAACAGGACAGCGACCAUCAACUCAUUCCAUAUGGGCCACCAGACAGCACCUAGAGAUGACUUAUUAGAAAAGGUUGACAGAGAAGAAAAGGAGGUCUAUGGACAUAUGCAUUGACAAAUGAGGCCCCUCUGCAAAUGAAGAUGGUGUCAUCCAGCAGCUAGAGGCUAAAAAGGGGCACUCUACAAACCGAAUGAAAACAUAUUGAGUUAUAAUCAGAAGCACAAGCAAAUGGAAGCAAAAGUGUGACUAUCAACAGCGAGCUGCAGUGUGGAUUCUCGGUACGGCGGGACUGGUCUCCAUGAAGUGUUUUGUGCGAGUUUAGACAGCAACAGUGAUGUCACCUAGGAAGGCUCUUCCCGGGGUCAGAGUCUACAAGGGAGGGUUCAAAAUCAUUAAACGAAAAUGAUGAAGGAAAAGUAUUCGAGUGUUCUUAAACGAGUAGAAUCAAU